rnacentral:misc_RNA from 1 species
GAUGAAGAACGUAGCGAAAUGCGAUAAGUAAUCUGAAUUGCAGAAUUCAGUGAAUCAUCGAAUCUUUGAACGCACAUUGCGCCCGCCAGUAUUCUGGCGGGCAUGCCUGUUCGAGCGUCAUUUCAACCAUCAAGCCCCAGGCUUGUGUUGGGGACCUGCGGCUGCCGCAGGCCCUGAAAACCAGUGGCGGGCUCGCUGUCACACCGGGCGUAGUAGAUUUUAUCUCGCUCUGGGCGUGCUGCGGGUUCCGGCCGUUAAAAAACCCUUUUAACCCAAGGUUGACCUCGGAUCAGGUAGGAAUACCCGCUGAACUUAAGCAUAUCAAUAAGCGGAGGA